GAUGAACGCUGGCGGCGUGCUUAACACAUGCAAGUCGAGCGAGAAGUUUUGAAAAGAUUCUUCGGAUGAAAUUUAAAAUGGAAAGCGGCGGACGGGUGAGUAACGCGUAGGCAACCUGCCCCAUACAAAGGGAUAGCAUUUGGAAACGAAUAUUAAUACCUUAUGAAACUUAACUAGUGCAUGCUAGGUAGGUCAAAGAUUUAUCGGUAUGGGAUGGGCCUGCGUCUGAUUAGCUAGUUGGUGAGGUAACGGCUCACCAAGGCGACGAUCAGUAGCCGACCUGAGAGGGUGAACGGCCACAUUGGAACUGAGACACGGUCCAAACUCCUACGGGAGGCAGCAGUGGGGAAUAUUGCACAAUGGGGGAAACCCUGAUGCAGCAACGCCGCGUGAACGAUGAAGGCCUUUGGGUCGUAAAGUUCUGUUCUAGGUGAUGAAAACUGA
rnacentral:rRNA from 1 species